CGAGCGCAACCCACGCCCUUAGUUGCCAUCAUUUAGUUGGGCACUCUAGGGGGACUGCCGGUGAUAAGCCGAGAGGAAGGUGUGGAUGACGUCAAGUCCUCAUGGCCCUUACGGGCUGGGCUACACACGUGCUACAAUGGCGGUGACAGUGGGAUGCAAAAGGGCGACCUCUAGCAAAUCUCAAAAAGCCGUCUCAGUUCGGAUUGCACUCUGCAACUCGAGUGCAUGAAGGUGGAAUCGCUAGUAAUCGUAGAUCAGAACGCUACGGUGAAUACGUUCCCGGGCCUUGUACACACCGC
rnacentral:rRNA from 1 species